ensembl:misc_RNA Metazoa_SRP Metazoan signal recognition particle RNA
GCUGGGUGUGGUGGUGCAUGCCUGUAAUCCCAGCUACCUGGGAGGCUGAGGCAGGAGAAUCGCUUGAGCCCGGGAGGCAGAGGUUGCAGUGAGCGUGCCACUGCACUCCAGCCUGGGCGACAGAGCAAGACUCUGUCUCAA